GAUGAACGCUGGCGGCGUGCUUAACACAUGCAAGUCGAACGGACAGGCCCUGCUUUUGUGGGGUGCUCGAGUGGCGAACGGGUGAGUAACACGUGAGUAACCUGCCCUUGACUUUGGGAUAACUUCAGGAAACUGGGGCUAAUACCGGAUAGGAGCUCCUGCUGCAUGUGGGGGGUUGGAAAGUUUCGGCGGUUGGGGAUUGUCUCGCGGGUUAUCGGCUAGUUUGUGGGGUAGGGGCUUACGAAGGCUUUGACGGGUAGCCGGCCUGAGAGGGGGGACGGCCACAUGGGGACUGAGGUACGGACCAGUCGGGAACGGGAGGCAGCAGGGGGGAGUAUGGCACAAUGGGCGGAAGCCAGAUGCAGCGACGCUGCGUGCGGGAAAACGUCCUACGGGUGGUGAACCGCUUUCGCCGGUGACGAAGCGGGAGUGACGGUAAUGGGUAAGAAAGCACCGGCUAACUACGUG
rnacentral:rRNA from 1 species